CGCGUGGGAAUAUACCCAGUUCUAAGGAAUAGCCACUGGAAACGGUGAGUAAUACCUUAUACGCCUUCGGGGAAGAUUUAUCGGAAUUGGAUUAGCCCGCGUUAGAUUAGAUAGUUGGUGGGGUAAUGGCCUACCAAGUCUACGAUCUAUAGCUGGUUUGAGAGGAUGAUCAGCAACACUGGGACUGAGACACGGCCCAGACUCCUACGGGAGGCAGCAGUGGGGAAUAUUGCACAAUGGGGGAAACCCUGAUGCAGCCAUGCCGCGUGUGUGGAGAAGGCUUUCGGGUUGUAAAGCACU
rnacentral:rRNA from 1 species